UCUAGGUAUCCAAACUGAGGAAAAUCUAUAAAUACCCGUGUUUCCGUUGCUCGUUCGGCAAACCCUAGCCCCCUCCGGUCCUGUUCCCUUUCUUCGUUUCUUGACUCUCCAUCUCGCCGGUAUCGCCUCCGUCGACGUUGAUCAUCCUCGGCUAUUACUUAAAUCGAAACCUUAUCAUUGUCGUUGCUCUUAAUUUUGAUUUCUUGUCUAUAGCUUGUUAUGAUCAGCGGAUCGGAAGUGGAUCUCAUGUCUUUGAAACCAAAAUUUAUGCCUUUUUGAAAACGAUAAUCGAGUUUCUGUUUAGAUUCGGUGGUAGAUUCGGAAGUAGUUUUUGUUAUUCCUUUUAGCCAGAAAUGAAAGUGUAUAGUUCUGGUAGAAUGUGAAUCUAUUAUACCGUUUGGCUCCUGAGAAAAUCUCGGAAAAGGAAGAAAUCAAAACUCUGAAUCGAGUUUUUCAUUUCCUCGAAGCUGAGAAAGGCUAAGGCUUGAGGUUCUUUCUUCCCCUGUUUUCUCAGGAGCCAAACAGAGGGCAACAUGAUUGUUUCGGACCAAUAUCGAUUGCGUAUCAUUAGAGGUGUUUGAAUGUAGAUUGUUAUUGCCGGUGAUGACAACUUUUGGGCAUGAGCGUCAACAACUAUUUGCGCACUGUGGUAGAUUAUGCUUACCAUGGGGUUGUUGAGGCAAGGAAGAAUGUGCCAAAAUGCUAAUCUGAGGCCAUUUUUAUUUUAAUUACACAAUUUU